rnacentral:rRNA from 1 species
GGGGAAUUGUUCGCAAUGGGCGCAAGCCUGACGACGCAACGCCGCGUGGAGGAUGAAGAUCUUCGGGUCGUAAACUCCUUUCGAUCGAGACGAACGGCUUCCGUGCUAAUCAACGGAAGAGUGACGGUACCGAGAGAAGAAGCCCCGGCUAACUCUGUGCCAGCAGCCGCGGUAAUACAGAGGUGGCAAGCGUUGUUCGGAAUUACUGGGCGUAAAGCGCGUGUAGGCGGCUCUUCAAGUCAGGCGUGAAAGCCCCGGGCUCAACUCGGGAACUGCGCUUGAUACUGUCGAGCUAGAGUGUGGAAGGGGCGAUUGGAAUUCCGUGUGUAGCGGUGAAAUGCGUAGAUAUACGGAGGAACACCAGAGGCGAAGGCGGAUCGCUGGGCCAACACUGACGCUGAGACGCGAAAGCUAGGGUAGCAAAC